UUUGUUCGUGGCUUUCAUACC
rnacentral:piRNA from 1 species